rnacentral:rRNA from 1 species
UACGGGGGGGGCAAGCGUUGUUCGGAAUUACUGGGCGUAAAGCGCGUGUAGGCGGCUCUUCAAGUCGAGUGUGAAAGCUCCAGGCUUAACCUGGGAACUGCGUCGGAUACUGGUUGGCUUGAAUUCGGGAGAGGGAUGCAGAAUUCCAGGUGUAGCGGUGAAAUGCGUAGAUAUCGGGAGGAACACCAGUGGCGAAGGCGACUACCUGGCCUGUUCUUGACGCUGAGGCGCGAAAGCUAGGGGAGCAAACGGG